GCAGUGGUGGUUCAGUAGUAGAAUUCUCCCCUUCCAUGUGGGAGACCUGGGUUCGAUUCCCAGCCAGUAUA
rnacentral:tRNA from 1 species